CUGUUCGAGCGUCAUUACACCCCUCAAGCUCCGCUUGGUGUUGGGCAGCGUCCCCGUGGACGGGCCCGGAAAUCAGUGGCGGCGCGGCUGGGCCUCAAGCGUAGUAAAACAUCUCCCGCUUCGGAUGGUCCGGUGGCGCCCGCCAAAACCCUUCUUCUAUGGUUGACCUCGGAUCAGGUAGGGAUACCCGCUGAACUUAA
rnacentral:misc_RNA from 1 species